UACGGAGGGUGCAACCGUUGCUCGGAAUUAUUGGGCGUAAAGCGCACGUAGGCGGUUUGUUAUGUCGGAUGUGAAAGCCCUCGGCUUAACCGAGGAAGUGCAUCCGAAACUGGCAAGCUUGAGUACAGAAGAGGGUCUCGGAAUUCCCGGUGUAGAGGUGAAAUUCGUAGAUAUCGGGAGGAACACCAGUGGCGAAGGCGGAGACCUGGGCUGAUACUGACGCUGAGGUGCGAAAGCGUGGGGAGCAAACAGG
rnacentral:rRNA from 1 species